rnacentral:rRNA from 1 species
AAAAAAGUAGGGAAGUGUGUGAGCCAAGAAUCAAGAAAAGCCGCUAUUGUUUUUAAGAUACCCGUACCGUAAACCGACACAGGUGGAUGAGGAGAGAAUCCUAAGGCCGGCGGAAGAAGCAUUGUUAAGGAACUCGGCAAAAUGACCCCGUAACUUCGGGAGAAGGGGUGCCAACGAGAGUUGGCCGCAGAGAAUAGGCUCAAGCAACUGUUUAGCAAAAACACAGGUCUAUGCAAAACCGUAAGGUGAGGUAUAUGGGCUGACGCCUGCCCGGUGCUGGAAGGUUAAGAGGAGAGGUUAGCGCAAGCGAAGCUUUGAAUUUAAGCCCCAGUAAACGGCGGCCGUAACUAUAACGGUCCUAAGGUAGCGAAAUUCCUUGUCGGGUAAGUUCCGACCCGCACGAAAGGCGUAAUGAUUUGAGCGCUGUCUCGACAAUGCAUCCGGUGAAAUUGAAGUACCAGUGAAGAUGCUGGUUACCCGCGCCAGGACGGAAAGACCCCAUGGAGCUUUACUCCAGUUUGGUACUGGGGUCCGGCAGUGCAUGUACAGGAUAGGUGGGAGGCUGAGAACCUGGAACGCCAGUUUCAGGGGAGCCAUUGUUGGGAUACCACCCUUGUGCUGCUGGGCUUCUAACCAGCGGCCUUUAUCAGGCCGGGGGACAAUGCCAGACGGGGAGUUUGACUGGGGCGGUCGCCUCCGAAAGGGUAUCGGAGGCGCUCAAAGGUUCCCUCAGAAUGGUCGGAAACCAUUCGAAGAGUGCAAAGGCAGAAGGGAGCUUGACUGCGACACCGACGGGUGGAGCAGGUACGAAAGUAGGACUUAGUGAUCCGGUGGUAUUAAGUGGGAAUGCCAUCGCUCAGCGGAUAAAAGCUACCCUGGGAUAACAGGCUUAUCACUCCCAAGAGUUCACAUCGACGGAGUGGUUUGGCACCUCGAUGUCGGCUCAUCGCAUCCUGGGGCUGUAGUAGGUCCCAAGGGUUGGGCUGUUCGCCCAUUAAAGCGGUACGCGAGCUGGGUUCAGAACGUCGUGAGACAGUUCGGUCCCUAUCCGGCGUGGGCGUAGGAUAUUUGAGAGGAGCUGUCCUUAGUACGAGAGGACCGGGAUGGACUGACCUCUGGUGUACCGGUUGAACCGCCAGGUUCACGGCCGGGUAGCCAAGUCGGGAAGGGAUAAACGCUGAAGGCAUCUAAGCGUGAAGCCCCCCUCAAGAUGAGAUAUCCCAUUCGAAAGAAGUAAGACCCCUUGAAGACGACGAGGUAGAUAGGGCAGAGGUGGAAGUGCCGUAAGGCAUGGAGCUGACUGUUACUAAUCGGUCGAGGGCUUGACCU